rnacentral:lncRNA from 1 species
AGCGGAAGUUACGAAGCGUGGGAAGACAGUAUGGCCAAAUACCUUGAAAGGGUAAAGGAACUCGUCUCUACCUUUAGCAGCUUCAACAUCAAACAGAUCCCAAGGUCGAAAAAUACUAGGGCUGACCUUCUCUCUAAGCUGACGACGCUAGCUCCGGCCGAACUGCCCAAGGGCGUUCUUUUUGAAGUUCUAAGGCACCCG